GGGGCGGUGGCGAAAUGGCAGACGCCGGAGACUUAAAAUCUUCUGCUGGUUAACCCAGCGUGUGGGUUCGAGUCCCACCCGCCCUA
rnacentral:tRNA from 1 species